GUGGGGAAUUUUGGACAAUGGACGCAAGUCUGAUCCAGCCAUGCCGCGUGCGGGAAGAAGGCCUUCGGGUUGUAAACCGCUUUUGUCAGGGAAGAAAAGGUUCUGGUUAAUACCUGGGACUCAUGGCGGUACCUGAAGAAUAAGCACCGGCUAACUACAUGCCAGCAGCCGCGGUAAGACGGAGGGUGCUAGCGUUGUUCGGAAUGACUGGGCGUAAAGGGCGCGUAGGCGGCCGGUUGCGUCGGAUGUGAAAGCCCGGGGCUCAACCCCGGAACGGCAUCCGAUACGGGCUGGCUCGAGACCGAGAGAGGUGAGUGGAAUACCCAGUGUAGAGGUGAAAUUCGUAGAUAUUGGGUGGAACACCGGUGGCGAAAGCGGCUCACUGGCUCGGUUCUGACGCUGAGGCGCGAAAGCGUGGGGAGCAAA
rnacentral:rRNA from 1 species